rnacentral:rRNA from 1 species
UACGUAGGGGGCGAGCGUUGUCCGGAUUUACUGGGCGUAAAGGGCGCGCAGGCGGUUGCGUAAGUUUGGAGUGACAGUGCCUGGCUUAACCAGGCAAGGCCUCUGAAAACUGCGGGACUUGAGGACCAGAGAGGGACAUAGAAUUCCGGGUGGAGUGGUGAAAUGCGUAGAUAUCCGGAGGGAAAUACCAAAGGCGAAGGCAGUGUCCUGGCUGGUAACUGACGCUGAGGCGCGAAAGCUAGGGGAGCGAACAGG